GACGAACGCUGGCGGCGUGCUUAACACAUGCAAGUCGAACGGAAAGGCCCCUUUGGGGGUCCUCGAGUGGCGAACGGGUGAGUAACACGUGAGUAACCUGCCCUUGACUUCGGGAUAACUUCAGGAAACUGGGGCUAAUACCGGAUAGGAAUCCUUGCUGCAUGGUGGGGUUGGAAAGCUUCGGCGGUUUUGGAUGGACUCGCGGCUUAUCAGCUUGUUGGUGGGGUAGUGGCUUACCAAGGCUUUGACGGGUAGCCGGCCUGAGAGGGCGACCGGCCACAUUGGGACUGAGAUACGGCCCAGACUCCUACGGGAGGCAGCAGUGGGGAAUAUUGCACAAUGGGCGGAAGCCUGAUGCAGCAACGCCGCGUGCGGGAGGACGGCCUUCGGGUUGUAAACCGCUUUCAGCAGGGGCGAAGCUUGUGGUGACGGUACCUGCAGAAGAAGCACCGGCUAACUACGUG
rnacentral:rRNA from 1 species